UGUAAGCGUAUACCAAAGUUGUCGCAGUUAAAACGCUCGUAGUCGGAAUUUGGCGGUACCGGAUGUGUGCACGUCGUGUGCGCACUUCGCGGGGAUUGCUUUUGUGGUCUUGCGUAGGAUGAGGCACUUUUAUUAGUGAACGUCCUCACGCAACCACUUUUUACUGUGAGAAAAUCAGAGUGCUCAAAGCAGGCAUUUGCCGUGAAUGUAUUAGCAUGGAAUAAUAGAAUAGGACUUGGUUCUAUUUUGUUGGUUUGUUGGGACUGAGUAAUGAUUAAGAGGGACAGUUGGGGGCAUUUGUAUUUCGGUGCUAGAGGUGGAAUUCUUAGAUUACCGAAAGACAAACUGCUGCGAAAGCGUCUGCCAAGGAUGUUUCCAUUGA
rnacentral:rRNA from 1 species